UACGGUGAAUACGUUCCCGGACCUUGUACACACCGCCCGUCAAGCCAUGGAAGCUGGGUGUACCUAAAGUCGGUAACCGUAAGGAGCCGCCUAGGGUAAAACUAGUAACUGGGGCU
rnacentral:rRNA from 1 species